rnacentral:lncRNA from 1 species
GGCCGGAUUUACAUAGCAUCAACGUUACUCUGGCGUGUUACCAUUGAAGCAAUGCCACCCAAUCAUUACCACCACCGAACCUCCACCUCUACUUUCCCUCUCCCCCUACUUUGCUUAUGUAACACAAUUUUUGCCAAUCUUUAUUCUUAUUUUGUGUUUGGACUGAUUUACUGGGAGUUCGAAACCCCCAUGGCUUGCAUUAUUUUGUUUUUUCUAUUUUGUGGGUUCUUU